GCGGUAGUGGUGAAAUGGUCAUCACUUUACGUUGUGGAAAUCCCUUAUCUACAAUUCCGUAACAUUCGCAGUUCGAUUCUGCGCUACCGCA